UGGCUCAGAUGGUAAAAGCAUCUGCCUACAAUGCGGGAGACCCAGGUUCGAUCCCUGG
rnacentral:tRNA from 1 species